GGCUGUAGCUCAGUGCUAGAAUGCUUGCCUCACACCAUGAGGCACUGGGUUCGAUCCUCAGCACCA
rnacentral:tRNA from 1 species